rnacentral:rRNA from 1 species
CCGAGUCUUAAUUGGGCGUUAAGUUGCAGGGUAUAGACCCGAAACCCGGUGAUCUAGCCAUGGGCAGGUUGAAGGUUGGGUAACACUAACUGGAGGACCGAACCGACUAAUGUUGAAAAAUUAGCGGAUGACCUGUGGCUGGGGGUGAAAGGCCAAUCAAACCGGGAGAUAGCUGGUUCUCCCCGAAAGCUAUUUAGGUAGCGCCUCGUGAAUUCAUCUCCGGGGGUAGAGCACUGUUUCGGCUAGGGGGCCAUCCCGGCUUACCAACCCGAUGCAAACUGCGAAUACCGGAGAAUGUUAUCACGGGAGACACACGGCGGGUGCUAACGUCCGUCGUGAAGAGGGAAACAACCCAGACCGCCAGCUAAGGUCCCAAAGUCAUGGUUAAGUGGGAAACGAUGUGGGAAGGCCCAGACAGCCAGGAUGUUGGCUUAGAAGCAGCCAUCAUUUAAAGAAAGCGUAAUAGCUCACUGGUCGAGUCGGCCUGCGCGGAAGAUGUAACGGGGCUAAACCAUGCACCGAAGCUGCGGCAGCGAACGUAUCACCCAAGACAACUUUACGGAGUUGACGAUUGACGGAGCGAAGCGACGUCAAAGCGUUCAUUAAAGUCGAGUUGGCUUAGGGAUACGUUCGUUGGGUAGGGGAGCGUUCUGUAAGCCUGUGAAGGUGUGUCGUGAGGCAUGCUGGAGGUAUCAGAAGUGCGAAUGCUGACAUAAGUAACGAUAAAGCGGGUGAAAAGCCCGCUCGCCGGAAGACCAAGGGUUCCUGUCCAACGUUAAUCGGGGCAGGGUGAGUCGACCCCUAAGGCGAGGCCGAAAGGCGUAGUCGAUGGGAAACGGGUUAAUAUUCCCGUACUUGGUGUUACUGCGAAGGGGGGACGGAGAAGGCUAUGUUGGCCGGGCGACGGUUGUCCCGGUUUAAGCGUGUAGGUGUGUGUUCCAGGUAAAUCCGGUUCACUUUAACACUGAGGCGUGACGACGAGGCACUACGGUGCUGAAGCAACAAAUGCCCUGCUUCCAGGAAAAGCCUCUAAGCAUCAGGUAACACGAAAUCGUACCCCAAACCGACACAGGUGGUCAGGUAGAGAAUACCAAGGCGCUUGAGAGAACUCGGGUGAAGGAACUAGGCAAAAUGGUGCCGUAACUUCGGGAGAAGGCACGCUGACACGUAGGUGAAGUGAUUUACUCAUGGAGCUGAAGUCAGUCGAAGAUACCAGCUGGCUGCAACUGUUUAUUAAAAACACAGCACUGUGCAAACACGAAAGUGGACGUAUACGGUGUGACGCCUGCCCGGUGCCGGAAGGUUAAUUGAUGGGGUCAGCGUAAGCGAAGCUCCUGAUCGAAGCCCCGGUAAACGGCGGCCGUAACUAUAACGGUCCUAAGGUAGCGAAAUUCCUUGUCGGGUAAGUUCCGACCUGCACGAAUGGCGUAAUGAUGGCCAGGCUGUCUCCACCCGAGACUCAGUGAAAUUGAACUCGCUGUGAAGAUGCAGUGUACCCGCGGCAAGACGGAAAGACCCCGUGAACCUUUACUAUAGCUUGACACUGAACAUUGAGCCUUGAUGUGUAGGAUAGGUGGGAGGCUUUGAAGUGUGGACGCCAGUCUGCAUGGAGCCGACCUUGAAAUACCACCCUUUAAUGUUUGAUGUUCUAACGUGGACCCGUAAUCCGGGUUGCGGACAGUGUCUGGUGGGUAGUUUGACUGGGGCGGUCUCCUCCUAAAGAGUAACGGAGGAGCACGAAGGUUGGCUAAUCCUGGUCGGACAUCAGGAGGUUAGUGCAAUGGCAUAAGCCAGCUUGACUGCGAGCGUGACGGCGCGAGCAGGUGCGAAAGCAGGUCAUAGUGAUCCGGUGGUUCUGAAUGGAAGGGCCAUCGCUCAACGGAUAAAAGGUACUCCGGGGAUAACAGGCUGAUACCGCCCAAGAGUUCAUAUCGACGGCGGUGUUUGGCACCUCGAUGUCGGCUCAUCACAUCCUGGGGCUGAAGUAGGUCCCAAGGGUAUGGCUGUUCGCCAUUUAAAGUGGUACGCGAGCUGGGUUUAGAACGUCGUGAGACAGUUCGGUCCCUAUCUGCCGUGGGCGCUGGAGAACUGAGGGGGGCUGCUCCUAGUACGAGAGGACCGGAGUGGACGCAUCACUGGUGUUCGGGUUGUCAUGCCAAUGGCACUGCCCGGUAGCUAAAUGCGGAAGAGAUAAGUGCUGAAAGCAUCUAAGCACGAAACUUGCCCCGAGAUGAGUUCUCCCUGAGACUUAGAGUCUCCUGAAGGAACGUUGAAGACGACGACGUUGAUAGGCCGGGUGUGUAAGCGCAGCGAUGCGUUGAGCUAACCGGUACUAAUGAACCGUGAGGCUUAACCUUACAAC